CCUACGGGAGGCAGCAGUGGGGAAUCUUGGGCAAUGGGCGCAAGCCUGACCGAGCAACGCCGCGUGAAGGAAGAAGGCUUUCGGGUUGUAAACUUCUUUUAAGGGGGAAGAGCAGAAGAAGGUAACCAUCGAAUAAGCCACGGCUAACUAAGUGCCAGCAGUCGCGGUAAUACGUAGGUGGUAAGCGUUGGUCGGAUUUACUGGGUGUAAAGGGAGGGCAGCCGGAGGGACAAGUGAGAUGUGAAAGCCACGGGCUCAAACCGUGAGCGGAGUUUGAAACUGUUUCCCUUGAGUGUCGGAGUGGUAAUCGGAAUUCCUUGUGUAGCGGUGAAAUGCGUAGAUAUAAGGAGGAACACCAGUGGCGAAAGCGGAUUACUGGACGAUAACUGACGGUGAGGCGCGAAAGCGUGGGGAGCAAACAGGAUUAGAUACCCCGGUAGUC
rnacentral:rRNA from 1 species